rnacentral:lncRNA from 1 species
CGGCGGCGGCGGCGGCGGGGGGGGGGGGGGAACGGAAAACUCCCCCCAGAUCCCCCCAGCCCGCGCACGUCGCUCUGCUAUAAGAGGAGUCCCCUAGACCAAGCGGGACGUACUGGGGUUGCCAUUGCCAUGGCAAUCCCCCCCGCGCCAGCAGGAGCCGGGGAAGCCGAGGAAGGUGAGGAAGAAGCGGAAAGUCCUUCAGUGGCUCUGUGCGCUGCUGCCGGUGUCCCUGCACGGCGGCCGCUGCCUUAGCCCAGUCGCUGGGGCAGGGGCUGGGACAGGCCCCUUCGCAUGCCGCGUGCGCGCCCGCGGAGAGGAUGUGGCGCCUCUAGCCAACUUCGCCCGGGCUCCGGCCAAGACUCCUGUAAGACCCUCUCUUGUCAGCACUGUACGUUUAUUUAGGCUCUAAACCUUCACAUUUCAUCACGAGGGUCAGUGGAUUCCGUAGAAGCUGACAGAAUCUUUCUGGUAGCGUUGCUGAUUUCCUUGCUGAAGGAUGAAUCAAUCCAGAGAGCCUCUAAUUUGCAGAAUAGGAGCAUCUCCAUGUAACUUAGGGGGUAAGUAAAACAUCUUUCUUUUUCAAAGCAUAACCAAGACGGGUAUGCAUACCUUAGCAUUGAUUUUGUGCAAACCAAGUUCUAUUACCUCAUUCAAAGCUUCAUCAUGCCAUCUAGCUUUUCAAAGCUAGCAUCACCUUCCACAUCAAAUUUCUUCUUUUUAGCUUUUUAAUAUCCUCUUCUGUUGUGGUAUUUUUUUUCCAUUAGGGCACACAUCUGUGUUUUGGAUUAAAGUGAAAUUUGUUUAGAGUUAAAUGAUACUUUUGCCUGGGGUGCCUGAGUGAGAACUUCUGACAAUCUUAAGAGUUGCAGACCUGUAUCUGACAUGCUUGGAGUAUGAAUGUUAAGCUUUCCUUUGCUCUCUUAACAUUUUACUUUUAUUAUGGAGCAUGACAUUUACUGGUGCUGCAUGGUUGUGAAGAAUUAAUCAAUCAUCAUGAAAUAAAUUGCCCAUCUGAAAGGAGAAGAUCA